rnacentral:rRNA from 1 species
UACGUAGGGUGCGAGCGUUGUCCGGAAUUACUGGGUGUAAAGGGUCCGUAGGCGGGCCGGCAAGUCGGUGGUGAAAGUUCGCGGCUCAACCGCGAAAUUGCCAUCGAUACUGCUGGUCUUGAAUCCGAGAGAGGAUGAUGGAAUUCAUGGUGUAGCGGUGAAAUGCGUAGAGAUCAUGAAGAACACCAGUAGCGAAGGCGGUCAUCUGGCUCGGUAUUGACGCUCAGGGACGAAAGCGUGGGUAGCAAACAGG